rnacentral:rRNA from 1 species
CCUACGGGAGGCAGCAGUGGGGAAUAUUGGACAAUGGGCGAAAGCCUGAUCCAGCAAUACCGCGUGUGUGAAGAAGGCCUGCGGGUUGUAAAGCACUUUCAGCAGGGAGGAUUAUGACGUUACCUGCAGAAGAAGCACCGGCUAACUCUGUGCCAGCAGCCGCGGUAAU